UUUUUUUUGAACACCCAAAGCUCUCUGCCAGAUGCUUGCAGUCUCUGGUUUCAUUAUAAAAAGUCUCAACAUAAGGAGAGAAUCACCUCAAUGUACACCUUCAGCCAUGGCAAUGCUACUGGGAAUGACAGCUCUUCCACAAUGAGCUUGAUAAUACUCAAAGAAAGCUAUUGUUUUCUAGGCUUCAGACAAGGCGUUCUAUUACAUGAUGCAUUGUGUCAGGAUGCGUUGAAAUGGGGCAUACCGCUUUAGGGUUUGCUUAGGCACCGUGCCACGUUCUCAGUCUGCAUCUUAAAAAGCAGUGCACGCUAUCAAUGUUAUUCAUUCAUUCUCCCAUCCUCUUGAAAAGCUUUUAAGGAGAAGGAAGCCAGUUUGGAAGACAGCCUGCCCGCACAAUACUUGGAGGAUUCCAGCUCGUCUUUGAAGGAAGGGUUCAGGGGCCGGCGUGGAGGGCUUCCGCUACAAUUUUCAACCACAGCAAUGCUCAACAACAGGUCAUUUCCCAGGACGAGGCACAGGAGGAAGCCGCUUUCCUAUAACAUAAACAGGAUUAUUUUAAAUCAAAUUUCACAGUUUUCUGAAGCAGAGCUGCUAGAAAGCGUGCUCAGUGCUUUGAAAGGCAGCUCUGCUUCAAAAGGGAGGGAGAACGAGAGCGAUAUUGAAAGAGUAAGAGGGAGAAAUGUACUUUUAUCUCCGCACAGGAAUAUGAUGCGGCCCACUUUGCAAAUUGACUUCGAAGGCCACAGUUCUGCAGUAUUUCUGCAGCCACCCGCCCCUCACUUUGAGAAAUAUACAGCUGAAGUCCGGUUCUGCAAGGAUGCUUCGUGAUUUACGACGUGGAGGGAUGGGUUCCCAUCUGGGACUCCAGCCACUGCCGGACAGGAGAUUUACAGGUACAAUGACACCACUGAUUACUUUUGGACGCCGAGGAGAAAUGGACACAGUUUGUUUUUCACCCCUUUCCAUCUUUAAGACCUGGACUGAGCAAGGGCCUAGAUUUGAGUCUCUGUCCCAAAGCAGCGGCUCCGGGGUUCGCUUAUGGACACACACAGUCUAACUUGGAUGAGCCCAAGUCGAUAAAUAACAUAUGCAGACUGAUGGGAAACCCAUACUGUAUCUCCAUCGACGAGAAAUGCAGAGACAUUGUCAUGACCCCAGAAACCACACUUGCUCUAGGAGCUGUUCGACUCCAUCCCUCUCGUUUUGACAAAUUUGUGAGUCUUCCUGUGCGUUCUGAGGAGGCCAAACCGUGGACAUCCAGAGUUCAGCCAAACCCAAUACAGUCUGAAAACAAAUGCUAGGGUUCGACUGACCUCACGCUGGACUAAAUGGCUUGACAGCUUUGUAAAUAUGGCUUCCGGCAAAUGAAUUCCCUUCUUUUUCAUUUACCAACAAGAGCCCCAAAUCCAAAAAAACGCAAAAUGAAAGAUAACGCUGCCUAACACUCUAACUCAGUCAAUAAAUCAGACAGAAACAAUAAGUGGAAACCAUAAAUGCGGACUGGAUUGAAGUAAUUUUUCUUCACGUGGAAAUUCUCAAGACAUUUUCAAUUUCAUGCACGGCACAGAAACCAUACUAAAGACAUUUGUGUAAUAUAAGCAGGGAGGAACUCUUGAUGAUCUCGACAGGUCUGUGUUCCAGCCAGCCCUAUGCAAACAAUGUGCCUGUCUGUCUGCUUGCCAUGCAUCCUCAAAGGGACAUGAAGUGUCUCAUAUACAUUUGACACAAAGAACGGGUUAUGUGACAUAAACCAGAUGGACUCUUCAGUAGGACCGACAUUGUGGUUUCUCAAAGACCGCAGACUUGCUUGAUCGCUCCACCCAGGGCCUGCUUGCUGGCAACUCACUUUCAUUCGUCUUCUCACUAGUUUGGGUGAAAAGCUUUUGGGAAGCUUUGUAAGAUUGAUGAUCCAUGGCCAAUUACUGGCUUAGCCCUUGAGUCUCACAAAGAAAGCAUGAGCUCGGACGUAAACACAUAGGACAAAGACGUAGGGGCUGGGAAUACCUGUGGCUCCACAAUAUAUGAGACUUCAAGACUAUCUCUUAAAAUAAUCUCAUUCCACAGCCUGAUCCUGGUAUUUCUGGAUGGUGCCAUCCCGAGUGAAGAAAGGAGGAGCCGGCGCAUCUGACGCCCCGUGGUUGACGAGCACCAGGGCGCCAGGCGAAAGCUUGUUAGACAAACUCUGACAACAAGACGCUGCCCUUGAAAAUCAAUUAUAAACACAGGAGCUUCCCUGCAUCUGUUUCUGCUCGCAGUUUUGUGGGUCUGUCUGUCUUGGAUUUCGGUUUUAUCUUCCCUCUCUUUGGGCAGCUUCCACAGCGGUUCAAACGGCCAUCCCUGAAGGAUUAGUGUGAGUUUUUAAACCCACAGGGACAGAGUGUGUAAAUCAUGAAUGGGUGAGCAAGAGUGAUGACAGGUCAUGGCACCCGCUGCUUAUUGGGAUGAGCAGUUUAUGGGAGCAGUUGGGGUGUUUUUCAUUGCAUCUGUUUUGCCCGGUCUCCUGUUUCCAACAAGUAAACAAUAAUAAAAAAUGACUUUGACUGGUUAUAAAGGGGUGCCGACAAGUUUGCACAGAGAAGUUAUGGGUUCCCAAUCUUGUAAGGGUCCUCUAAUGGCCCUUUAGGGCUCGGCUUACACUACCUGGGGCCCGGGUUACUCACAAUUGUUUUAGCAUGCCAUUAUGUGUUUUUAGCCGAUUCUUGAAGAUGGCUAAGGAUUGAGUUGGGCAGGUCUUUCC